UCUGCGAGUAAAGGCGGAGUGAGGAAAAAUCAAUUUAAGGAGUUUUAAGCGAACGAGGUUGAGCAGUGAUGACGGCGGGCGGUGUUGAGCAUAGACGAUGAAGAUCCUUCGAUAGAAUAGUACUUGGAUGCGUCGUGUCUCCAUACACGAUGUCAUCUGCUCUUGACUCUUCCGCUGCAAUGUAAAAGUCGAGAUUUCAUUC